rnacentral:tRNA from 1 species
GUCAGAAUUGCCGAGUGGUUGAAGGCGCCAGACUAAAGUUCUGGUCCAAGUAUGUGGGCGUGGGUUCGAAUCCCACUUCUGACA